CACGCCGUAAACGAUCAAUACUAGGUGUGCGGGGACUGACCCCCUGCGUGCCGGAGUUAACACAAUAAGUAUUGCACCUGGGGAGUACGAUCGCAAGGUUGAAACUCAAAGGAAUUGACG
rnacentral:rRNA from 1 species